rnacentral:rRNA from 1 species
UACGUAGGGACCAAGCGUUGUUCGGAUUUACUGGGCGUAAAGGGCGCGUAGGCGGCGCGGUAAGUCACUUGUGAAAUCUCUGAGCUUAACUCAGAACGGCCAAGUGAUACUGCAGUGCUAGAGUGUGGAAGGGGCAAUCGGAAUUCUUGGUGUAGCGGUGAAAUGCGUAGAUAUCAGGAGGAACACCGAUGGCGAAGGCAGAUCUCUGGGCCGUAACUGACGCUGAGAUACGAAAGCGUGGGGAGCAAACAGG